UACGUAGGGGGCUAGCGUUGUCCGGAAUCAUUGGGCGUAAAGCGCGCGUAGGCGGCCAGAUAAGUCCGGUGUGAAAGUCAAAGGCUCAACCUUUGAAUGCCGCUGGAAACUGUCUGGCUAGAGUCCGGAAGAGGCGAGUGGAAUUCCUGGUGUAGCGGUGAAAUGCGCAGAUAUCAGGAGGAACACCGGUGGCGAAGGCGGUUCUCUGGGCAUUACCUGACGCUGAGGAGCGAAAGCAUGGGGAGCGAACAGG
rnacentral:rRNA from 1 species